UAUUUUUAUAAUUUUUGAAGUGCUAAAAAUAAUCAUUUGGACUGUAAAUGGUUAGGGACCCAGGCUAGAGUUUGAAAGAUUGGACCUAUUUUAGGUUUCUUAUAGGGCCGUAUGGGCAUUAUAAUUGUUAUUGUGAGCCUCUGGCUCUGUGUGUUAUUGUUGUUGUGUUUUCUUGCAAGGGAGUUAGGUUCAGUUAUAGGAG
rnacentral:misc_RNA from 1 species